rnacentral:rRNA from 1 species
GACGAACGCUGGCGGCGUACUUAACACAUGGAAGUCGAACGGAAAGGCCCUGCUUUUGUGGGGUGCUCGAGUGGCGAACGGGUGAGUAACACGUGAGUAACCUGCCCUUGACUUUGGGAUAACUUCAGGAAACUGGGGCUAAUACCGGAUAGGAGCUCCUGCUGCAUGGUGGGGGUUGGAAAGUUUCGGCGGUUGGGGAUGGACUCGCGGCUUAUCAGCUUGUUGGUGGGGUAGUGGCUUACCAAGGCUUUGACGGGUAGCCGGCCUGAGAGGGUGACCGGCCACAUUGGGACUGAGAUACGGCCCAGACUCCUACGGGAGGCAGCAGUGGGGAAUAUUGCACAAUGGGCGGAAGCCUGAUGCAGCAACGCCGCGUGCGGGAUGACGGCCUUCGGGUGGUAAACCGCUUUCGCCUGUGACGAAGCGUGAGUGACGGUAAUGGGUAAAGAAGCACCGGCUAACUACGU